GAUGAACGCUGGCGGCGUGCCUAAUACAUGCAAGUCGAGCGAACGGACGAGAAGCUUGCUUCUCUGAUGUUAGCGGCGGACGGGUGAGUAACACGUGGAUAACCUACCUAUAAGACUGGGAUAACUUCGGGAAACCGGAGCUAAUACCGGAUGAUAUUUUGAACCGCAUGGUUCAAAAGUGAAAGACGGUCUUGCUGUCACUUAUAGAUGGAUCCGCGCUGCAUUAGCUAGUUGGUAAGGUAACGGCUUACCAAGGCAACGAUGCAUAGCCGACCUGAGAGGGUGAUCGGCCACACUGGAACUGAGACACGGUCCAGACUCCUACGGGAGGCAGCAGUAGGGAAUCUUCCGCAAUGGGCGAAAGCCUGACGGAGCAACGCCGCGUGAGUGAUGAAGGUCUUCGGAUCGUAAAACUCUGUUAUUAGGGAAGAGCAUAUGUGUAAGUAACUGUGCACAUCUUGGCGGUACCUAAUCAGAAAGCCACGGCUAACUACGUG
rnacentral:rRNA from 1 species